GUGGGGAAUAUUGGACAAUGGGCGCAAGCCUGAUCCAGCCAUGCCGCGUGAGUGAUGAAGGCCUUAGGGUUGUAAAGCUCUUUCAGUGGGGACGAUAAUGACGGUACCCACAGAAGAAGCCCCGGCUAACUUCGUGCCAGCAGCCGCGGUAAUACGAAGGGGGCUAGCGUUGUUCGGAUUUACUGGGCGUAAAGCGCACGUAGGCGGGUCGUUAAGUCGGGGGUGAAAUCCUGGAGCUCAACUCCAGAACUGCCUUCGAUACUGGCGACCUAGAGUCCGGAAGAGGUGAGUGGAACUCCUAGUGUAGAGGUGGAAUUCGUAGAUAUUAGGAAGAACACCAGUGGCGAAGGCGGCUCACUGGUCCGGUACUGACGCUGAGGUGCGAAAGCGUGGGGAGCAAACAGGAUUAGAAACCCGAGUAGUCC
rnacentral:rRNA from 1 species